rnacentral:rRNA from 1 species
CCUACGGGGGGCAGCAGUGGGGAAUAUUGGGCAAUGGGCGCAAGCCUGACCCAGCAACGCCGCGUGAAGGAAGAAGGCUUUCGGGUUGUAAACUUCUUUUGACAGGGAAGAGUAGAAGACGGUACCUGACUAAGAAGCACCGGCUAAAUACGUGCCAGCAGCCGCGGUAAUACGUAGGGUGCAAGCGUUAUCCGGAUUUACUGGGUGAAAAGGGAGCGGAGGCGGCGGGUUAAGCCUGGUGUGAAAGCCCGGGGCCCAACCGCGGGACUGCAUUGGGAACUGGCGCGCUGGAGUGCCGGAGGGGUAGGGGGAAUUCCUGGUGUAGCGGUGAAAUGCGUAGAUAUUAGGAGGAACACCAGUGGCGAAGGCGGCCUACUGGACGGUGACUGACGCUGAGGCUCGAAAGCGUGGGGAGCAAACAGGAUUAGAUACCCUGGUAGUC